CCUACGGGAGGCAGCAGUGGGGAAUAUUGGGCAAUGGGCGCAAGCCUGACCCAGCAAUGCCGCGUGAAGGAAGAAGGCUUUCGGGUUGUAAACCUCUUUGACAGAGGAAGAGCAGAAGACGGUACCCUGAAAACAAGCCACGGCUAACUACGUGACAGCAGCUGCGGUAAUACGUAGGUGGCAAGCGUUGUCCGGAUUUACUGGGUGUAAAGGGCGUGUAGCCGGGAAGGCAAGUCAGAUGUGAAAUCUGGAGGCUCAACCUCCAAAUUGCAUUUGAAACUGUUUUUCUUGAGUACUGGAGAGGCAGACGGAAUUCCUUGUGUAGCGGUGAAAUGCGUAGAUAUAAGGAGGAACACCAGUGGCGAAGGCGGUCUGCUGGACAGCAACUGACGGUGAGGCGCGAAAGCGUGGGGAGCAAACAGGAUUAGAUACCCGUGUAGUG
rnacentral:rRNA from 1 species